UAAUAAGUGUUUCAUGGCACUUUUUAAAUCCAUAUCCACCUUGUGUGCAAUGUCAGUCGAUCUUCUUCAUGGAGAUCGACCAAACAUCAACCUUUAUCUUUUAACUCUUUGUCUGAAAGAUAUUAUGAAUAAACAAUUCAAAAUA
rnacentral:misc_RNA from 1 species